AUAUUUAUAAGCAGCGAGGGCCACGCCAUUCGUCGUCACUCUCACUUUCACUGCAGCUGGAGUACUCUACGGUGCCGAAGCUGUCUCUGCACUUCAGCUUCCUCCUGUGAGUAGUCUUCCCAUGGGAUCCAUGGUGUUUGCCAUAGUAGCCAGUAACAGCAGGAGCAGGGCCAUAGGUCCCAGUCAGGUUGGCGCCUGUGCCCACUCCAUAGUUGGAGUGAGAGGCUUGCUGAUAGCCAGUCAAUGGGGGCUUACCUGUGUUGUAGCUGUAGCCAAGAGCUGGGUUUGUGGUGUGGCCGUAAUACUGAGUCUGAUUCUGGGAUCCGGCCACUGCAGGUUUUGUGUAGUAGGAUUGGCUACCUGCCAUUCCAGCGGUCGUGUAUUGGCUUUCGGUAUAGCUACUGAAAGCUUGGCUUUCAUAUUCAUUCCCGUCUCUGUAACACUGGGCCAUGGCAACCUGGGGAAGUGUUUAAGAAGCUUAUGCUUUUUCUUGCGGUCUGUUUUUGAUUGCCUGGUUAUCAAGUCCGGUUUGGAAACACAUAUAUAUAGGCAACGUGCAAGUGGGAUUCCCUCACUUCAAUUAUAUCAUCUUUGUCCUU
rnacentral:lncRNA from 1 species